GUUAUUUAUGAAAUAUAAAAUCAACAUAUUCAUAGUAAAUUAUGAAAUAAUCAAGGCAGGUGCUAAAUAAUAUAUGUUGCAUGAUAAAUUGCAUCUUCAGUAUCCCCAGUGGUCCUAUUCCUGUCUACUCUGGGUUUAUCCAUGGGAUAUUCUCAUAAUCUUAAUUAUCUUCCCUUGAUCGAACCAAUAAAAAAAAGGUUACAAACCAGUCUUGGCCUCAUUGUUUACGUUCACAACCCUAUAUGACGGCUUGUUCGCUACAAUAUGAAAAAGGCUAAUAGAAAACAAAUGACAUGCACACAAAAUGUAUUUAACGAUUUUUUGGAUCGGUCGAUAAAAAUAGCACAAUCAUCAAGGGCAGAUAAUUAUAAUGCGUCUCUACCCCAUGGAUGAACCCAGUAGUUAGUGGAGUGGGACGGAAUUGGACCACUGGGAAUACCGAGCAUAGAUAAAAUUGUAAAACAUAAACAAACAAAAAAAAUACCACAAAUGUGCGUUGCGCAGUGGUUAAUGCAAUAUGCCCCCUGAAUCUCUGAACUGUCGUCUAGAUAACUUAUUUUAUUUAUUUAUUUAUUUAUUUAUUUAAAAAAAAAACAACCACGUCCAGUCUUUGCAUGGAGUUGCAACAUCUUUAAAUUGAUUGAAUCUUACAAACCCCCUUAUUUCUCAAAUACAAACGUUUGAAAUCUUUUUAAAUUGGCGGUUGGCUUCCCAAUUAAUAUUUGUUUUAAUUGAGUGACGUUACGGAGCGCUGAACAAUGGGUAUAUUAUUCAGGAAUAUCACAAGUACCAGAGCUUUAACAUUAAAUAUAUGGUUAUUUAACAUUUGAUAAACAGCUGAUAAAUAACAAUAAAUUAAACUGACUUACAUAGGCUGACACCCAAAUGUUGAUAAUAACAGCUAACCAAUGAAUACUUAAUUAGGAUAUUAAUAUUUUUUUCUGAGAUGAUUCCACAAGGCCAUACUGGGGAAUCCAUGAUCAACUCCAUGCCAUAAAAGCAUACUAUUUGAAUUUAAUUUGUAAACCAUCCAUAUUGCAUUAUCAAAAUUAGUUGACAGUCAAGAAGUUCAGCUCUGAACUAUUUGUUAAGCAUGUGAGUAGGUGGCACUAAAACCUACCCGAGGAGUUAUUUCCCCAUCUGAAAACUGUGUUGUUUUCAAAUCAUUAUAUUAUAUUUUUUUUUAUUUCUGAGAUCAUUCUAUCUAGACAUUCUGGUAUAAUCACAAGAAUUUGUGUCAUAAAUAGAUAAUUCAAUUUGCAAACAAUUCAUGGCGUUAUGAAAAUU